rnacentral:rRNA from 1 species
UGCCAGCAGCCGCGGUAAUACGAAGGGAGCUAGCGUUGUUCGGAAUUACUGGGCGUAAAGCGCACGUAGGCGGAUUUGUUAGUCAGGGGUGAAAUCCCGGGGCCCAACCUCGGAACUGCCUUUGAUACUGCAAGUCUGGAGUCCGGAAGAGGUGGGUGGAAUUCCUAGUGUAGAGGUGAAAUUCGUAGAUCUCAGAAGGGAUGCCAAAGGCGAAGGCAAUUUUCUGGCUCAUGGCUGACGCUGAGGUGCGAAGGCACAAGUAUCAAGUGGGAUUAGAUA